rnacentral:rRNA from 1 species
GACGAACGCUGGCGGCGUGCUUAACACAUGCAAGUCGAACGGAAAGGCCCUGCUUUUGUGGGGUGCUCGAGUGGCGAACGGGUGAGUAACACGUGAGUAACCUGCCCUUGACUUUGGGAUAACUUCAGGAAACUGGGGCUAAUACCGGAUAGGAGCUCCUGCUGCAUGGUGGGGGUUGGAAAGUUUCGGCGGUUGGGGAUGGACUCGCGGCUUAUCAGCUUGUUGGUGGGGUAGUGGCUUACCAAGGCUUUGACGGGUAGCCGGCCUGAGAGGGUGACCGGCCCCAUGGGGCUUGGGAAGCGGCCCAGACUCCCACGGGGGGCAGGGGGGGGGAAUUUUCCAAAAGGGGCGGAAGCAUGGGGGAGAAACGCCGGGUGGGGGAGGACGGCCUUCGGGUGGGAACCCGCUUUCGCCUGGGACGAAGGGUGAGGGCGGGAAAUGGGAAAAAAAGCCCGGGUUAAUUCGGG